CCGGCCGAACCCCUCAUCUUCUCUUUUCCUCUUCUUCUUCUUCCCCAAAUCGAUCAUCUUCAUCUCCCCUAAACCGAUCAACUUCCUCCCUCACUCUCUCACGACGUCGUCCUUUCCUUUCUCCUGACCUCUUCCUUGCAUCACCCACUGCCGAUGCCCUCUCCGCAGUCCUUCUCUUCCGUCCCUGCCCAAGCGCCGGUUACGCUCGAGUCAUCGCCGGUCGAGCCCUUCUUCCGAUCGCCUUCAGCCGUGCCCUAGAUCUAUCUCUCAUCGCCACACCUCUGCACGGGGCAAUCUCCGACCAAGGGCAGAGAGCCAUGCCCUAGUUGUCUCCAGCUCGCCACUGGCUACUGCCGCCGCCGAUCGGCCAGCACUUCCUAGUGCAGCCGACGCCUCUCCUCUCUUCACUGUGUCGAUUUCCUCCAGAGAGGGAAACUACCAGAAAGGGGCUUGCUGCAUUGAUCUUCGCCAGGGCAGGCCGCGACCAGUGCCACCGUGACCAGUGACCAUGAGUUGCCACCAUCGACUCACGACCAAUCAUCGCAGCCACACCCGAGUCCUAGUUGGUUAGAGUUGAUCGUGAGCGGUUUUUCCAGACAGUUGCUUUCUUCUUCAGUGCUUUGGUAUCGAUCUACUGCCGACAAUCUAUUCCUUGCUGAUCUCAACAACCACUAGGCCUAGCCGUCGGAUAGGGAACAAUCAAUUGGGGGGUAAAUUGUUUUUGAAAUCCACAACUCCAACCUCGCUCUAAUUAGGUCUACUGGUAGCAAGUUGUCUCCGACUGUGGAUCACCGGCAGAUCAUCCGGAUUUGGGAUUUUGAUUCGAGAUGAUGUUUCGAUGAGGGAUCUAUUUCGGAUACGAUCCUCUUAUUGG